CUCAUCUCCUCCCCUCCCUCCAUCAGAUGGGCGCCCUCCUCCUCUCCUUUUCCCAUGGCAGCAGUUCCAACUCCCUCUCCUUCCCCUCCAUCAAAACCGAAGGAAAAACUUGUCUGCAGUUCCGUUUUGCCACUGCACAUCUCUUUUCGUUGCCGGAUUCCUGGAAUGAAUUCUUGACAUCUUGUUGCGGAAAAACAUGGUGAUGUAGUGUGCCAUGGAGAUCACUCCGGUGUGUGUGUCACCAUCUCUCUGAACCUGCAGUGGAAUCCUAUCAACCACCAUUACCGUUGCUUCUGUACAUGACAUGAUCAUCUCUGAAGUGAAAUUGGCGCCAUCUCAUUGAUCACCAACCAUUUGCUGUCCAUCAUUGGUGUUAGACGCCAUUGAGGUCUUGUCCAGCAACCAUGAACCUCGAUGUUCUUGUGAUGCUUGUACUAGUUGAUUGCUAACGUUAGAAGAGGGGCUCUACAAGGAUGAUCAAGAAGUUGGAUAGCAAGAAUUUGGAAGGCAAGUGUAACAUGAGUUCCCUUGUUACCUAAUAACUAUUUAAUCACCUCUUUAUGUGCAUGUGUCUGAUAUGAUAAACCCCUAAGGACUUUACCUAGAACUUUUGUUAUCCUCAAUCCCUUGUUACCAUGGGUUAUGCAUAUGGGUAGUUUUGCUUAGUCUGCAAUCACCAAACAAUAUAAUGUUAAUCUUGAUUAAUGGAUUAUGUAAUCAAUGAUAAAAUGAUG